rnacentral:rRNA from 1 species
GUAGGGAAUAUUGGGCAAUGGAGGCAACUCUGACCCAGCCAUGCCGCGUGCAGGAAGACGGUCCUCUGGAUUGUAAACUGCUUUUGAAUGGGAAGAAACGUAGCUUUGCGAAGCUAUUUGACGGUACUAUUAGAAUAAGCACCGGCUAACUCCGUGCCAGCAGCCGCGGUAAUACGGAGGGUGCAAGCGUUAUCCGGAUUUAUUGGGUUUAAAGGGUGCGUAGGCGGCUUUAUAAGUCUGGGGUUAAAGGCGGCAGCUUAACUGUACGCAUGCCCUGGAAACUGUGAAGCUUGAGUGACUUGGAGGUAGCUAGAAUUCCCUGUGUAGCGGUGAAAUGCAUAGAUACGGGGAGGAAUACCGAUUGCGAAGGCAUGUUACUACGAGUAAACUGACGCUGAUGCACGAAAGCGUGGGGAUCAAACAGGAUUAGAAACCCGAGUAGUCC